CAUAGUUUGAGUUUUCAUAAGACUUCUGCACAGGCAGAGAGAAAUAAGAUCAUGUCUAUAGCUGUGUGAUGAUCAUAUUAAAAAUAUUACUAAGUUUUUAAAUAUCAUUUCAAAUGGUUCAUUUGUAUCUCACAUUGGACAUAAGUAGAUCGUAAGGUUAAUGGAAAGUAGAAAAGUUGACUGGCUUGCAUGACCAUAAAAGAGACAUUGAUCUGAAAAAGAAACAUUUAUUCAUUUACUUCAGCUGCAGUUUUCUUGACUGCUGAAUUUCAUGAAAAGGGAUUGUUCAGGGAGGGUUAUGGAGCUGAAGGUCCAGACAGGAGCUGGUGCUACCGCUGUUCAAAUCUGAAGGUAGUGGAGAUGGAGCCUUGGGGAGGAGAUGGUGCUGCAUUUUAAGUCUGAAAAUCAUUGAGCUGGAGGUCCACGGAGGAGCCGGUGCUGCCACUGAUGUCUUAGGUUGUAGAGCUGAAGACCAGUUAAGGAGCUGGUGUUGCUGUUCUUCUGUGAGGGUCGUGGAGCUGGAGAUCCAGUGGGGAGAGGUGUUCUAAUUUGAGGGUCAUGCAGCUGGAGACCUGGGGAGGAGCUGAUGUUGUUCUAGUUUGAGGCUUCUGCGUCUGGAGACUCAGGUGGGAGUUGAUGUUUUACUGAUCAGAGGGUCAUGGAGCUGGAGACACAGGGAGUAGUUGAUGUUUUCCUUGUUAGAGGGUCAUGGAGCUGCAGACCCGUGGAGGAGCUGGUGCUGCUCUUGUUUAAGUCUGAGGGUCGUGGAGCUGGAGAUCCAAGGAGGAGCUGGUGCUGCUGUUGUUUAAGUCUGAGGGUCAUGGAGCUGGAGAUCCAGGGAAGAGUUGGUGCUGUGGUUCAAGUCUGAGGGUCCUGGAGCUGGAGCCCCCGGGAGGAGUAAGUACUGCCACUGAUGUCUUAGGUUUUGGAGCCGUACACAUGUGGAGAAGGUGGGCUGGUGUUCUAGUUUGAGGUUCAUGGAGCUGGAGUCCUGGUCAGGAGCCAGUGAUGCUGUUCAAGUCUGAAGUUUGUGGAGCUAAACAUGGAACCACUGUUGGGGAAGUAGAGAGAGACAGAGUUACAGGAUGCCACUUGAAACUGUAGAUGUAGCUGAAUCCCAAG
rnacentral:lncRNA from 1 species